rnacentral:rRNA from 1 species
UACGUAGGGUGCAAGCGUUGUCCGGAAUUAUUGGGCGUAAAGAGCUCGUAGGUGGCCUGUCGCGUCGGCUGUGAAAACUCGGGGGCUCAACUCCGAGCUUGCAGUCGAUACGGGCAGGCUAGAGUUCGGCAGGGGAGACUGGAAUUCCUGGUGUAGCGGUGAAAUGCGCAGAUAUCAGGAGGAACACCGGUGGCGAAGGCGGGUCUCUGGGCAGUAACUGACGCUGAGGAGCGAAAGCGUGGGGAGCGAACAGG